rfam:Glycine soja cultivar W05 scaffold4168_1, whole genome shotgun sequence.
UUCUUAUUGGAUGAUGACCACCACAUGCCAUGUUCUGAUUGGAUUUCAAUUCCAUGAAAAAUGAAAUGAAUUGUUGUUUUCAUUAGCCAAUCAGAACAUGACAUGUGGCAAUCAUCAUCC